UCACAACAAACACUCAGUCUUGCACAGUAAAGUGUUCACAGUCUGAUCAUUUUACUGCUUUGAUUCCAAACCCUGGAAGUGUCUCAUCAUAGAACGGAGCCAACAUGAUCCAACUACUGACGUUAGAAAUGUUUACAUACCAUUUUCUGUCCACACCGUGACUUCUUUCGGCUAUU